GGCUGUACAUAGCUCAGUGGUAGAGCGUUUGCACAAGAAUCGCAAAUCUUAAUGUCAUGGGCUCGAAUAUAUCCCAUUGGAGCCU